UUGCAACCUCGCCGAACUGUGUUGCUGAACUGAAGUUUAGGGACAGCAGCAGUUUUACCACCGAUGGUGUUGCAUGUAAGCUGGAUGUUCUCAUUGUUCUGUUGGCUCUGAUCGGUGUGUAUGCUAUGAAGUUAAGGUUCUUAAGAUUAAUGAUGUUUAUAGAAGUGAUGCAGGAUGUGAGGUACAACUAUCAAAGUGACAUUAAUUUUGGUUCUGAUUCCUAUCCGCAGCCUCUUCUACACUAGAGAAGGAAAACACUCGACGAUCUGGCUCUGUCUCAGGUAUAUGCUCCCUCGCCCGCAAGAUCCGCUCUCUCCCAUCUACGCAUCGCAACAGCACUUCAGCUCCUCUUGUGGAUUCUCACCAGAUCAGGCCACCUCACUCACCUUCAGUCUGUCGUGAUGGACAAAGUUAAGAUCCCAACAAAAAGUGCUUCUUGAUGCUAUGAUGCAGCAACUUAACCUUCCAAAUUACAGUUUACUAAACAGACCUCGCCGGCAGAUCCCUCAGCUAUCAGGGAAGGCAGCCAUCAGCGGAGAUUGAGGGCGCCUCUCCGGCGAGAGUGCUCAUGUCGUGGUGGUUUUCCACCAGCAGCGUGGGGGAGGCGGUGUCCUCUGCAGCUAGGUCUACUUACUGGCGACCUCACCAUCACCAGCCCACCUGCAGGUAUGCUAGCUCCUCUUCUAUUAAUGGAAAAAGGAGAUGCUCAAAUGGAUUGGGUGGUACCUUCCUGAAAGUAUUGUAGGGAUGGACAUAUGGAUUGAUUGGUAGGCCCCUGAAAGCUACACAGAUCUGAACCGAUAACUUCAAUAAGAAUGUGUAUCCCAGCUCCUUUUAUAAUCUUGAAUCCUUCUUGGUCCUACUAAACUGUAACUCAUGUUUCGUAUUGGAAACAAUAUUUUGGACAUUCCUAACCUGGCCAAGGGAAUGUAUUGCCCACCUACAGUGAGAGAUACAUACGAAAUAGGUCCUACUAAACACCUAAAAGGAUGAGUCAUACUGUACUAACAUUUUUGCUAUCUUUAUGCUCCAUAUGGAUGGGAACUAAAAGGAUGAUGAUAUUAUUCUACCUUUCAAUAUUUGGCGGCGCAUGUUUAAGAAAAUCAUAGUGACUAAUAAGCAUGUCAUUUUCUAGAAGGGGCUUGACUGGAAUGUAUUUAUAUAGUUAAUAAAAUCAUAGUGACUAAUUCUUCAGUUCCUCUAUUUAGAUUAGAGGUGUAUGCAUGCAUAUUAGCCAAGUGAUCAGUCUUUCCAGGUCAAAAGAGAAAGUGACCAAUAUUUUGGCAUAUUUUCCUAUUAAGAAUAAAUGGAUAUGCCCAUGCACGUAU